rnacentral:rRNA from 1 species
AGGAUGAACGCUGGCGGCGUGCCUAAUACAUGCAAGUCGAGCGGUAACACUUCGGGUGACGAGCGGCGGACGGCUGAGUAACACGUAGGAAUCUACCCCGAACUGAGGGAUAAGCACCAGAAAUGGUGUCUAAUACCGCAUACCGUCUACGGACGAAAGCUUCGGCGGUUUGGGAAGAGCCUGCGUCCGAUUAGCUAGUUGGUGAGGUAAUAGCUCACCAAGGCGACGAUCGGUAGCUGGUCUGAGAGGAUGACCAGCCAGACUGGGACUGAGAACGGCCCAGACUCCUACGGGAGGCAGCAGUAGGGAAUUUUCCACAAUGGGCGAAAGCCUGAUGGAGCAACGCCGCGUGCAGGAUGAAUGCCUUCGGGUUGUAAACUGCUUUUAUAUGUGACGAUUAUGACGGUAGCAUAUGAAUAAGGAUCGGCUAACUCCGUGCCAGCAGCCGC